rnacentral:rRNA from 1 species
UACGGAGGGAGCUAGCGUUGUUCGGAAUUACUGGGCGUAAAGCGCACGUAGGCGGCUUUGUAAGUUAGAGGUGAAAGCCCGGGGCUCAACCCCGGAAUUGCCUUUAAGACUGCAUCGCUUGAAUCCAGGAGAGGUGAGUGGAAUUCCGAGUGUAGAGGUGAAAUUCGUAGAUAUUCGGAAGAACACCAGUGGCGAAGGCGGCUCACUGGACUGGUAUUGACGCUGAUGUGCGAAAGCGUGGGGAGCAAACAGG